UCGUGUCGGGGUGUCAGGGUGUCGUUUUCUUCUUCCUGCUCUUCUUUUUUCCUCUUCUUCCUUUUCUUCUUCUUCCUCUUCUUCCUUUUCUUCUUCUUCGUCUUCUUCUUCUUCUUCUUAUUCUUCUUCUUCUUCUUUUUCUUCUUCUUCUUCUUCUUCUUCUUCUUCUUCUUCUGCUCUUCUUCUUCUUCUUCUUCUUCUUCCUUGUUUUCAUUUUCCCUCUUCU
rnacentral:lncRNA from 1 species